UGGAAGGAGAUCCAAUUUGUGAGGCUGUGAUCUUUCACUUUAUCCACAACAAGUUAUCAACCCACUUUGAUUCCAAAAAUUUGUGUCUUGUGCACUCAACUUUCUUGAUCUGCAGAAACUCUGCAUAAUACUAAAAUGGCUUCCAAUCUUGUAAAAUUCCACUCUCAAUUCAUCAGAACUUCAAAGCCCAAUGUCCAUUUCAAGCUGACACAAAUUCAGUAUCCAUCUUUCUUCUCCCCUCCACUCCAUCAUCUUCACUGUGAUAACCUUUCUACUAUUUCCUUAACCAAAUCAAGAUUCCCCCAGUGUGCUCUCUCCUCCCCCACCCCACCUACCACCAAAGAAGAAGCUAUUUCCCAGGCAAAGACCUCUCUUUCCACCACUUUAGAGAAGCCCCUCAACAAUGCCAAACUCGCCGGCCGGCUCAAGAAGCUAAAGCAACCCAGAUUCCGGGUCGAGAUUCCGGUGAUCGAUGACUCGCCCUCUUCUCUCUCUCAGCUCGCGAUUGAUGUCUUUGCAGACAUGCCCAUCAAAAGGAAAGGCUCUAAAAUCAAGAUUCUUAUUCUCUGGCCGGAUAAAACCUUGGCUGCGGCUGCUAAAGCCUUUGAAACUCGUUCUUCGAGCACCAUAGUUGAAAACCUAGACGUUUUGUCGGUAACUAACGGGGACAAUACCAGGAUUUUGAAUUUAAAUUCUUCCGAUGUGGUUGUGUUUUUGGCUCCAGAGGUUUCACAGCUUGAAGCUAUGAAGAAUAUCACUGAUAAUUUGUACCCUAAGCCCGUGGUGAUUUUCAACCCCAAAUGGGGGUUCGAAGAAGAGGGCAGCUUUGGGGAAUUGAGUGGAUUUGUGGGUUCAUUUGAAGUAGUGUACUCAUUCAUGGGAUUGGAGGUUAGAGGGGUUCUGAACAGGAGAAAAGGUGUGGUUUUUAAGUGUGUGAGAGAUGGGGUUUUGAGCGGCGAGAGAUGGAACGUGUUGGUUGAAGAAGAGGGAGAGUUGAAGCUAGUCUCCACUUUCAAAUCAAGGCCAUCCUUCACUGAAGUUGAGAAUGUUCUGUACAACUUGAUGGCCAUGAAUUCUCCACUCACAAAGUCUGCAAAGUUCUUGAAGGGCUUGAUGUCAAAUGUGACUGUGAAGGAAGACCAGUUGACAAAACGUAAGUCCGGGGGCAGCUUUCUUCUCAUAUACUCAUAUCAGGAGCUGUUGCCCCUGCUUUCAAAAAUGAUUCCCUGGAUUCUUCUCCUCUAUGAAAGCUGAAGAUCGAGAUAGUCCUUCCUGAACCAAACUCAUGAUGCCGUUAUAUGACACCUUUUAAUGAAUGUAUCCGAGAAAUUGACAUACUUGGUCCAUAAUGAUCGGAGUUGUGGGAAUGCUAUGUCUAGCCAGGGUUUUGCUCUGCCAUUGAAGUGGACAACACCCGCACUUGCAGCAUCUGCAAUGCUUGUAUUAUCCUGGUAGCCAAGACCUAACAUGUGCCAGAAGGAAUCAAUGACAUGUACAUGGCCGUGGAAUGCGAUUAGGCCCGGAGGUGUCAAAGGAUGCAAGGAAAACCAUGCCUGCAUUUGGGAGUAAGUUUUUUUGUCUGUGAUUAUGUGAAGCACAAACUUUUCUGGGUGCAAUGAGUUUUGGACUAGUGAUGAAGCAACAACAGAGGCAGCAAGAACAUUGUCAGAGGCCAGAACGAAAUGGAAGAACGAGUUAUCAACAAGGGCAGGGACAAGCUCCGGUGAUGGUAACUGGAGACGAGCAUUAGCAUUGCUCGAGUGCUCAUUUGCUAACAUUAGCGAAAGGCAGUGCAGCUGUUUAGGGAUGCUAUUGGAUGCCACGUGGCGAUACAGGUACUCUUGGAUUUUUGCAGUUCUAGUUGUUUGCUCAAGGAAAUUGAUCUGUUAGGAAAAUAAACACAAGUAAGCCUAUUGAUUUUAGAUAAUUCACAUCGAAAGAAGCAUUUCAUCUUUAGAAUUUUAUAUACUUCAUAAUGGAAUUUUAUCUGUCUGAUCUAAUCAGGAGGGAAAUUAGUAACAAUGCCAUACCAUAGCUUUUAGCUUGACUGCAAAGGUCUUUGCAUCGGGUCUAUCACCUUUGAAUUCUGCAAUUAAGUCUUCGAGGGUCUGAGGUGUUUCUGGUCCAACUUGUAUCUCGGUUUCGUUUGCUGGUUCCUCCAAUACACUGUAUAUCACUUCUGGGAGCUAACAGAAAAUAGAAAUCUUCAUUCUAAUUUGUAUUCUUCUAAUGAAAAUGAAAGCCAUUUAGGUCAAAGUCUAGUUAUGAGCUUACCGUUGAUUCAAGCUGCCUUCCUAAAAUACUCGGUCGUAUUUUUCUUCCAAAGCAACCUGCAUUAGGUUGAAGUUUCAUUUCUAAUCACAUUACACACUUGUUAAUGUCACUAAAUGCUUCAAGUUUCAUCAUUUCAGAAAAUUACUGUAAAAAGGAAAAAAUAAAAAGUAACCUGAUGACAUGUGUAACUGAAAAAAGGCAUUUGCUUUCCCGAUUCUUUCCAUUUUAGUCAUUUAAGCUUUUUAUGCUAAACAUAUAUUUGUUUUCCAUUUGUGGUUACACAUUAUGGGCAAGAGUGCUGCUAAUUAUAUGGGAAGUACGAUCGAGGGCGUUACCUAUGCCUGAACACUUGCUUUCUCCGUCAAUGGUGUCCACAGCCGUCAACAAGAACACGAACCGGAGAAGAAACGUGAAGAGCAGGAGGGAGUAGAAGACCACGCGAAAGGACACCCGUCUGGACACAAUUCUGAACUUGAUGAACUCCUUCACGCCUUUGGUGGGAAGCACCGUUACGUGCCUCAGGCUCGGAGAUAUGUGAAGCUGCAUUUCUGAUUCCCGAGAAACCACGUCCCCCCGGGAUUCCUUUCUUUAAUUUGCUAGUCUUGUCUCAAGCAGUUCACCAGAAAAAAGAAGAAAAAAGGCACCCAAUGAGUUGCUGGUGCAGAAGAAAGAGCCUUUUUGAGGGGUGAUGACCGUGCCCUCCUCGUGGUCGCUAUCUAUCACCUAAACUUGCUUAACAUAUCAGCCAUGUAUGCAUUGCUCCAGGUUUUACCACCAUCAUUGUUUUGACAAAGGAAUAAUGUUUAAUGGUGACUUAGUUGUUUGAGAGAUAGAGACUGGUUUUUAAUUUUCUUGGCUUGAUGUUGAAGAAGGGAAGUUGGAGAGAAGGGGAAAGGGCAAAGAGAGGCUAAUUUAGUUUUUAGUUUUUAGUUUUGGUUUGGUGUUUGCUUCACUUUGCCUCCACCUUAUGAAUGGUGUAUUUUGACACAACUGAAUUUCUGACAGGAAAAUGACUGUAUCUCUGCCUAAUCAAUGAGCAUAUACGCAUUGGUUGUUGGCAGUUUAGGGAAGAGUCAUUUUCCAUUUGUGGGAAAUUCUUUGUUUAACUCAACCCUUUAAUAUAUUUUUAAUUUCUCAUUUAA